AUUGAACGCUGGCGGCAGGCCUAACACAUGCAAGUCGAGCGGAGCUGCGGACGGGUGAGUAAUGCCUAGGAAUCUGCCCGGUAGUGGGGGAUAACGUCCGGAAACGGGCGCUAAUACCGCAUACUAUCAGAUCAGCCUAGGUCGGAUUAGCUAGUUGGUGGGGUAAAGGCCUACCAAGGCGACGAUCCGUAACUGGUCUGAGAGGAUGAUCAGUCACAAUGGAACUGAGACACGGUCCAGACUCCUACGGGAGGCAGCAGUAGGGAAUAUUGGGCAAUGGGCGAAAGCCUGAUCCAGCCAUGCCGCGUGAGUGAAGAAGGUCUUCGGAUUGUAAAGCUCUUUAAGUAGGGAGGCGUUACCAACAGAGAAAGCACCGGCUAACUUCGUGCCAGCAGCCGCGGUAAUUC
rnacentral:rRNA from 1 species